rnacentral:rRNA from 1 species
CCUACGGGAGGCUGCAGUGGGGAAUAUUGGGCAAUGGAGGCAACUCUGACCCAGCAACGCCGCGUGAAUGAUGAAUGUCUUCGGAUUGUAAAGUUCUGUGAUUGGGGAUGUACACAAUGCCGGUACUCCAAUAGCAAGCCACGGCUAACUACGUGCCAGCAGCCGCGGUAAUACGUAGGUGGCAAGCGUUAUCCGGAAUGACUGGGCGUAAAGGUUGCGUAGGUGGUUUAGUAAGUUGGCGGUGUAAUUCCGGGGCUCAACCUCGGCACUACCGCAGAAACUAGUAGACUUGAGUGCAGGAGGGGUGAGUGGAAUUCCUAGUGUAGCGGUGGAAUGCGUAGAUAUUAGGAAGAACUUCAGGUGCGAAGGCGACUUACUGGACUGUAACUGACACUGAGGCACGAAAGCGUGGGGAGCAAACAGGAUUAGAUACCCUAGUAGUC